ACGGAAGGCAGCAGUGGGGAAUAUUGCACAAUGGGCGAAAGCCUGAUGCAGCGACGCCGCGUGAACGAAGAAGUAUUUCGGUAUGUAAAGUUCUAUCAGCAGGGAAGAUAAUGACGGUACCUGACUAAGAAGCACCGGCUAAAUACGUGCCAGCAGCCGCGGUAAUACGUAUGGUGCAAGCGUUAUCCGGAUUUACUGGGUGUAAAGGGAGCGCAGGCGGCGCGGCAAGUCUGAAGUGAAAUCCCGGGGCUCAACCCCGGAACUGCUUUGGAAACUGUCGUGCUAGAGUGUCGGAGGGGUAAGCGGAAUUCCUAGUGUAGCGGUGAAAUGCGUAGAUAUUAGGAGGAACACCAGUGGCGAAGGCGGCUUGCUGGACGACAACUGACGCUGAGGCGCGAAAGCGUGGGGAGCAAACAGGAUUAGAUACCCUGGUA
rnacentral:rRNA from 1 species